rnacentral:rRNA from 1 species
CGGGGUGCAGCAGGCGCGAAAACUUUACAAUGCCGGCAACGGCGAUAAGGGAACCUCGAGUGCCAGGUUACAAAUCUGGCUGUCGUGAUGCCUAAAAAGCAUUGCAUAGCAAGGGCCGGGCAAGACCGGUGCCAGCCGCCGCGGUAACACCGGCGGCUCGAGUGGUAACCGUUAUUAUUGGGUCUAAAGGGUCUGUAGCCGGCCGGGUAAGUCUCUUGGGAAAUCUGGCAGCUUAACUGUCAGGCUUUCAGGAGAUACUGCCUGGCUCGAGGCCGGGAGAGGUGAGAGGUACUUCAGGGGUAGGGGUGAAAUCUUGUAAUCCUUGAAGGACCACCAGUGGCGAAGGCGUCUCACCAGAACGGACCUGACGGCAAGGGACGAAAGCUAGGGGCACGAACCGGAUUAGAUACCCGGGUAGUCCUAGCCGUAAACGAUACUCGCUAGGUGUCGGCCACGGUGCGACCGUGGUCGGUGCCGUAGGGAAGCCGUGAAGCGAGCCACCUGGGAAGUACGGCCGCAAGGCUGAAACUUAAAGGAAUUGGCGGGGGAGCACAAGGGC